CAGAGACUGCAAGCGUUAUUCGGAUUCACUGGGCGUAAAGGGUGCGCAGGCGGCCAAGUGUGUGAGGCGUGAAAGCCUGGAGCUUAACUCCAGAAUUGCACCUCAAACUACAUGGCUAGAGCAUUGGAGAGGGUAGCAGAAUUCAUGGUGUAGCAGUGAAAUGCGUAGAUAUCAUGAGGAAUACCAGAGGCGAAGGCGGCUACCUGGACAAUUGCUGACGCUCAGGCACGAAAGCGUGGGGAGCAAAAGGGAUUAGAUACCCCUGUAGUCCACGCCCUAAACGGUGCACACUAGGUCUUGGCGGAUUCGACCCCCCAGGGCCCAAGCUAACGCGUUAAGUGUGCCGCCUGAGGACUACGGCCGCAAGGCUA
rnacentral:rRNA from 1 species